rnacentral:rRNA from 1 species
UUUUUGUGGUUUUGGAUGGACUCGCGGCCUAUCAGCUUGUUGGUGAGGUAAUGGCUCACCAAGGCGACGACGGGUAGCCGGCCUGAGAGGGUGACCGGCCACACUGGGACUGAGACACGGCCCAGACUCCUACGGGAGGCAGCAGUGGGGAAUAUUGCACAAUGGGCGCAAGCCUGAUGCAGCGACGCCGCGUGAGGGAUGACGGCCUUCGGGUUGUAAACCUCUUUCAGUAGGGAAGAAGCGAAAGUGACGGUACCUGCAGA